rnacentral:tRNA from 1 species
CCACUCGUGGCUGAGAGGCCGAAAGCACAUGGCUUAUAACCGUGCGUGGCGAAAGCCCCAUCGUAGGUUCGAAUCCUGCCGGGUGGA